rnacentral:rRNA from 1 species
GAGACUCUGUGCGCGUGCAUAUCAAUAAGCGGAGGAAAAGAAACUAACAAGGAUUCCCCUAGUAACGGCGAGUGAAGCGGGAAGAGCUCAAAUUUGAAAUCUUAAAGGGUUUCCCUUUACGAAUUGUAGUUUAAAGAAGUGUUUUCUGUUGGAGUUUCGGUAAAAGUUCUUUGGAAUAGGACAUCAUAGAGGGUGAGAAUCCCGUAUUUGACCGUUACUUUCCAGCUGUGUGAUACACUUUCAAAGAGUCGGAUUGUUUGGGAAUGCAGUCCAAGAUGGGUGGUAAAUUUCAUCUAAAGCUAAAUAUUGGCGAGAGACCGAUAGCGAACAAGUACCGUGAGGGAAAGAUGAAAAGAACUUUGAAAAGAGAGUUAAACAGUACGUGAAAUUGUCAAAAGGGAAGCGUUUGACACCAGUGUUGUUUAGUUGAAAAUCAAUUCAAUAGUUUUUGAUUCUAAGUAGUAUUGACUUCAUCAGCUUGCUGCUUUCUUCUCAGAAAUUAUUGAAUGCACUUUUCAGUUAACAAGUCAACAUCAAUCUCUUUUGUUGUAAAAGGGUAAGAGGAAGGUGGCUUGCGCUUCGGCUCAAGUGUUUAUAGCCUUUUAUCUCUGCAAUCGGAGAGAUUGAGGUCUGCAGCGUAGAUCCUUCGGGGUUAGAUACAUUGGUGCUAAGCUAUAGCCUUGUAUAGACAACUUGUUGACUAUGCUCAGUCAUGUAGCUUACUCGCUGAUGCUAUUUUACCUACGCUUAGGAUGUUGACAGCAGUAUAGACUGU